AUUUUAUUUUUCCAGUCACAAGAUACCUUAUGAUUUUCACUUCCUUUUAUCAGUGACAAUGGUGGCGACGAAACAGGAUACAGAAACUAUGUCUUAACCAAUCUGUCUUCCUAAGAUACAGCUGUACAGUAGGAUGCUCCAUCACGUAAUCUUUCUGCUAUCUAAAAUAUGCAUUCCAUGGCUUUACUGAAUCCCCUUUCAAACUGGGAUGCCCAAGCUGAACUGUUCCGUGUGAGUUUCUAUAGCUUAGGACUUUAAAAAUUCCCAUGUGUUUUAUCUUACAUUUUUGCACAGUUAAUUAAGAAUCUGAAAUUUGAACUGCAGAAGAAUUCAGCAAACCAAGAAGCCCACAGUAAUUUAAUUUUUGGUAGAAUAAAAUGUUCUAAUUCAUU